AUCUGCCUGGCUCCCUGGAUGCCAACUAAGAAGUUUGUCAAUAUGAGUGUUUGACUCUUCCUAUUUGGCGUCACGGGAGUCAUGCAGGU
rnacentral:pre_miRNA from 1 species